rnacentral:rRNA from 1 species
UUCCCCGGUGUAGCGGUGAAAUGCGUAGAUAUCGGGAAGAACACCAGUGGCGAAGGCGCUCUGCUGGGCCAUCACUGACGCUCAUGGACGAAAGCCAGGGGAGCGAAAGGGAUUAGAUACCCCUGUAGUCCUGGCCGUAAACGAUGAACACUAGGUGUCGGGGGAAUCGACCCCUCCGGUGUCGUAGCCAACGCGUUAAGUGUUCCGCCUGGGGAGUACGCACGCAAGUGUGAAACUCAAAGGAAUUGACGGGGGCCCGCACAAGCGGUGGAGUAUGUGGUUUAAUUCGAUGCAACGCGAAGAACCUUACCAGGGUUUGACAUCCUGCGAAUCUCUUGGAAACUUGAGAGUGCCUUCGGGAGCGCAGUGACAGGUGGUGCAUGGCUGUCGUCAGCUCGUGUCGUGAGAUGUUGGGUUAAGUCCCGCAACGAGCGCAACCCACGUCUUUAGUUGCCAGCAUUUAGUUGGGCACUCUAGAGAGACCGCCGGUGAUAAACCGGAGGAAGGUGUGGAUGACGUCAAGUCAUCAUGCCCCUUACAUCCUGGGCUACACACGUACUACAAUGCUACGGACAAAGGGCAGCAAGUUCGCGAGGACAAGCAAAUCCCAUAAACCGUAGCUCAGUUCAGAUCGUAGGCUGCAACUCGCCUACGUGAAGGAGGAAUCGCUAGUAAUCGCAGGUCAGCAUACUGCGGUGAAUACGUUCCCGGGCCUUGUACACACCGCCCG